UGAGCAAUCUGCCCUUCUCAUCGGAAUAAGCGUUGGAAACGACGUCUAAUGCCGAAUACGACCUCCUUUCGCAUGACCGGAGGUGGAAAGCUCCGGCGGAGAAGGAUGAGCUCGCGGCCUAUCAGCUAGUUGGUGUGGGUAAUGGCCCACCAAGGCGACGACGGGUAGCCGGCCUGAGAGGGUGACCGGCCACACUGGGACUGAGACACGGCCCAGACUCCUACGGGAGCAGCAGG
rnacentral:rRNA from 1 species